rnacentral:rRNA from 1 species
UACGUAGGGGGCAAGCGUUGUCCGGAUUUAUUGGGCGUAAAGCGCGUGUAGGCGGCCACGCAGGUCCGCUGUGAAAACUCGAGGCUCAACCUCGAGCUGUCGGUGGAAACCGCGUGGCUAGAGUCCGGAAGAGGGGACUGGAAUUCCCGGUGUAGCGGUGGAAUGCGCAGAGUAUCGGGAGGAACACCCGUGGCGAAGGCGGGUCCCUGGGACGGUACUGACGCUGAGACGCGAAAGCGUGGGGAGCGAACAGG